rnacentral:lncRNA from 1 species
GGGGGGGUGUGGCCAAGCCCUGAGCUGCCCCCCCCAGCACUGCCCAGUGCUCGCCCGACCCCGGGGUGCAGGGCUUAGCUCACCUGUGAACAGAGUUCGCACCCGUAUCGUGUUCACAGUGGCUAAGUUCCGCCCCCUGGAGUCCAUCCCCUGGGGCUCGGAGCCUCCUCAGCAGCUGGGCUCCGCCCGGAGGGGUCCCCAGGGGCCCAGAGGUGGAGGCUAGUGCUUAGCGCUGGGGGGAGGGAGUCAGGACUCCUGGGUUCCGUUCCCAGCGCUGCUGCUGUCUCCUGGGGGCCCUGCGUGCCGCGCUCCCGGGCUCUGCCUCCUGUGCCUACUGAGCUGAUACUCAGUUGCUUUGGUUAAACUGGCUCAGUUCAGCAGGAACAGGAGUCCGGCUCCAGCCUCGCGCCGGCCAGGAGCCCCCGCUGCCGAGAGAGGGGAGCCCCGCGCCAGGCUGGAGAUCACCGUGACCAGCUGAUUCCUCCACAGCCAAGGGGCUCCACCUUCCUGGGGGUGAGGGGAAUCCUGGACCCCACCCCUGUUCCCACUUCUCUGCGCCUUCCCUAUUCCCUCCUUCCACACCUCCUCUGCGCCUUCCCCAUUCCCUCCUUCCACUCCUCCUCCCAGGCUAUUCCCCAUUCCCUCCCUCCACUUCCUCUGCGCCUUCCCCAUUCCCUCCUUCCACGCCUCCUCCCAGGCUAUUCCCCAUUCCCUCCCUCCACUCCUCCUCUGCGCCUUCCCCAUUCCCUCCUUCCACUUCCUCUGCGCCUUCCACAUUCCCUCCUUCCACGCCUCCUCCCAGGCUAUUCCCCAUUCCCUCCUUCCACUCCUCCUCCCAGGCUAUUCCCCAUUCCCUCCUUCCACUUCCUCUGUGCCUUCCCCAUUCCCUCCUUCCUCCGCUGUUGCUCCCAGUAUGCCCGGGCAACCCCAUGGAAUUGGCGUCAGUGGGGUGAAGUGCCCGGAGCCCCCCCGCUGUGGUGGAGGGGGGUGGGUUUGUGUUGCUGUCUGCACUGGGGGAAGCUAAGAAGCUUUGAGCCCAGCCCGGUGCUCCUGGAAUAAACGCUGCUGACCAGUCAGAGCCUCCGAGCCAUUUCUUGCGGGAGGUCCUGCGGGGCGGGGGACAGGGAGUGGUGG